AGGAAGAGGAGGAGGAGCCGCAGCAGUGGAAGGAGUAGAGGAGGAGGAGGCCUGUAGCAGUGGAAGAGGAAGAGGAUGAGCAGCCUGCAGCACGUGAGGCGGCAGAGGAUAUGAGCUUGUAGCAGUGAAGGGAGGAAGCGAGGAGUAUGUGUGGGAAAGGUUGUGGACCGCAGAGUUGUGAAUGGAAGAGUAGAGUUCUUCUGCUGACAUGGAAUGGGUUCUCAGAUGUAGAAUCACACAUGGGAGCCCCAA